GGUGAGUCUGCUCUCUCGUCAACUCCUUAUGGAAUUGUCAGUUGGCAUGAGAGCAGGAACAGAGUCACCCAGGCUAGGUGAGGGAGACACCCAGGCUAGGUGAGGGAGACACCCAGGCUAGGUGAGGGAAUCACCCAGGCUAGGUGAGGGAGUCACCCAGGCUAGGUGAGGGAGACACCCAGGCUAGGUGAGGGAGUCACCCAGGCUAGGUGAGGGAGUCACCCAGGCUAGGUGAGGGAGUCACCCAGGCUAGGUGAGGGAGUCACCCAGGCUAGGUGAGGGAGUCACCCAGGCUAGGUGAGGGAGACACCCAGGCUAGGUGAGGGAAUCACCCAGGCUAGGUGAGGGAGUCACCCAGGCUAAGUGAGGGAGUCACCCAGGCUAGGUGAGGGAGUCACCCAGGCUAGGUGAGGGACAGACUGGACAGAUGAAAAGGGAUGAUCAUCAAAUGAGAACCACAAUUCACAAUUACGGUGCCAUUCAGAUGAUUCUUAGAUACAAAAAAAAAAAAGAUAUAAAUGAAAAUGUGUCAUACUGUUUUGAUUUUGCUUCAAAGGUUUUCCUAAAUGUAGGAAUAAUAAUUUGACUGAACUCGGAACACCUAUCUCCUAACGUGGACCAACACGCCAACCGGUGCACAUAGUUAUUACACAUAGUAAUAACAAUAGUACACACAAGAUGAAUUGAUCUGCUUCCGUGUGCCAGGACAGACACUACAACCCCCUGCACUGCCCUGCAAUCACAUUUACAUUUUAGUUAUUUAGCAGACGCUCUUAUCCAGAGCUAAUGCUCAUUAGCUUCGAAUAGAAUAAUACAACACAGUCUUACUAGAGCCAAUGCCAUGUUUAAAAAAAAAAUAAUAUAUAUAUAUUGGUUUCAGUGAGUGAUCUCAUUGUAAGGGUGUUUAUUUUAUGGAAGACGCUUAGCACGAACUAGUACAUCUCUUACAUUUUAGCAGACGCUCUUAUCCAGAGCAAUUUACAGUAGUGAGCAUACAUUUUUGUACUGGUCCCCUUGUGGCAAUUUGAACCCACAACCCUGGCAUUGCAAGGCGCCAUUCUCUACCAACUGAGCCACAUGGGACCCGGUGUAGUAGGAUUGUGAUCUUUCGUCGUGUUUUUUGAGAAACAGUUAAAAAAAAAUUUUUGCAGCGCUGUAUUGUUGUCAUGACAACAUUAUUUAUUAUUAUUAUUAUUUACAACAUGCCGAAAAAAAAUCGUAUUUAAUCAUAUUUAAAAAGGAUUGUCACAAUUUUGUCCAUGUUGAAUUUUUGUUUUGUAUUACUUAGAUUCUCAGGAAAAAGGCGUGAUAGCCUCUACCUUGUUUUACCUUUUUUUUUUGACAUAAAUUGACUUCUAUUGUAUUUCUAUGUUUUUAGAUCUUACCUAGUUGCUAGAUAGCUACAGGUUAGUCUGUCUACAGUUGAAAUACCAGAUGUUCUGUUGGCGUCAUCUCCCCGUCAUUAACAUUAGCCAUAUUAGAGAGGAGUUAAAUUAUUUCAGGUUAUGGGGAGUGCAUUUCGAGCGAACAUGUUAUUCUGUUGACUAUAAGUGAAAUAAUUAACAGAUGUUUAAUAAUAACCAAUUUAAGCACAGUGUUAAGGUUUGCAUAGGAUGGAACAUUCCAGAUAAGUAAAUGACUACUAUAAUCCAGUUAAGAAUUUCGACUAGGUGAACCAAAAUAGUUCUGUCUGUAAGGGGCAGAAGGGAAUUAUGGAACCAAUGGAACAUUUCCAAAACGUAUUCUUAAUUCCCCAUUGAAGAUACAGUAUUUGCUGUUUGUAGAUGGACAGAUGUUAGAUGUUAUGAACGUUUAUUCCCAUUGGUCAAUCCUCUCACUAAUCCUUAAGGGAACCCUGUGAAGCAAAUGCUAAAUAAAAGACUACAUUACCCAUGGGGCAAAGCUGGUUGUAAUGAUGUCAUCAUUACAUUAUUUCAAUCAGUUUUGCCUGCUGGGUAAUUGUGGAUUUUAACCUUUACAAGUGAGAACAUCAAAUGUGGCUGUUAACGUUAGUACAUGAGCAUAGAUGUGAUAUGGUAUAUAUAGAAAACAUAGAAUAUUGUUAAUACAAACAUCUCAUUUUAUGAACUGAAACGGGAAGAAAAUAACUGCCUAGCCUUUAUUGAUGUUUUCAUUUAGAGAUGGAACUACUGCAUAGCUACAUUUGACUGCAGUGGAAAAGGUUUUAGUCUCAAGAAGAUAACUUUUAAAAUGUAAAAGAUGGAUAUUACAAAAAAAUGUGUAUACAAUAUUAGACUUGAAACAAAUGUGAAGAUGUGUACACCCGAAUGUCAGUUAUUUCAAAAACCUGUGAAAUGUCUUCUUGUCUGAUUGUGUGAUGAUGUUCAAUAUGAUUUUCUUUUAAGUAUUUUUUUCCUAAACAUUUUUUGUUGUCGUUGUACAGACCUGGAUUUUCCUGUAUAUGUUCUAUGAUGUAUGUGAGGUAGAAUGCAGCUCUGUUCUUUGUGUCUCCAUGGUUACUGUUAUUAGCGGUUUCUAAAGGCUUCUAACGUGUUUUUAUUCAUAUUAUCGUUGAAUAAUACUAUUUUUUGUUGCUCAAACUGGAAUUUCGACUCCGUGCUCGCUGUAUCCACUUAAACAUACUGGAGCAAUAUAAAUAUGAAUUUACAGAUCAACUUGUAACUAUAAAAUGAUAAACCUCAGUGGAGCCCAUGUUUGCAGUCUCAGUUUAUAUAUAAAGCAGCAUGUACCCUUGCCAGUAAAAGCAGAAUAGGUCAUGUCUGUAAAGUGAUAUAUAGGCUGCUGAUGAUGAUAGAUUGUUAAUAUCGCACCAGCAAAAUAACAUAGUAUACAGUAUCUAAUCCAGUAGCCUGUAAAAUCCCUUUAGCCUGGCCUCUGUUCUGAUGUCACUACGUUUCACCGUUGAUAGUGAGACAGUGGUGAGCGCAGCAUUCAGUCUGGUUUAACCAGGCUAUAAUCCUUUACGUUUACCGUGUCCAUCUGUAGUAGUAACACGCUCUGUUAGGUUGACAGAAGCCUUGGUUCUUUACUGUGUAUUAUAGUACGUGCUACAGAACAAAACCAACGUUUCUGUGUGUCGUAAGUCGAUAGGUGUGGUUUUGGUGAAUUCGUGAGUCGGACCAGACCGUUGUGCCAUGUUGUGUACACGAGGCACACAACAGUAUGUUUGGUUUAUUGAUGUUAAAUACAGCUGUGUCCAAGCUGACCCAUUUACAAAUGCUCUGUAGUCUUGUCUGAAAUGGCACCCUAUUCCCUAUGUAGUGCACUACUUUAGACCAAAGUCCAAUGCUCUGUGUACGUCCAAAAUGGCACCCUAUUCCCCCCUGUAGUGAACUACUUCUGGUGCACUACAUAGGGAAUACGAUGCAAUUUGAGACGCUGACCUCGUCUGGAAUAGGGUGUGGUUUCAGGCGCACCCUUGGAGACGGUGAACUGCAGUCCAUUUGACGGACAGCAGUCUUCCAUAUUAACGUGUUGAUGUUGGGUCAUGUAUGUUGCUUCACAGCAUUUGAAAGCCAUUUCUCAUUGAUCCCCAUCUACCUUCUGUAUGGGUUUUAAUAUGUAUCCUGUACUAUAAUAACAUAGGUAUAGAUACGUAAAUGACUUGAGGUGAGGUUCAUGUUUAAUAACGUUGCCAUGGAUAAAUUUAGCACAGGUCUACACAGGCUAGGUGUACAUGCUAUGAUCAUAUGGAUAUUAAUGUUAUAUGAUCGUUCAGGAGACUGUGUUUGAAUUUUUAUAUUAUUUUGAUCUUUCCCUGAUGGAUAAUAAACCGCCAUUGUUGCA